GAUGAACGCUGGCGGCGUGUUUAACACAUGCAAGUCGAACGAUGAAAGCGGGAGCUUGCUCCUGCUGGAUUAGUGGCGAACGGGUGAGUAACACGUGAGCAAUCUGCCCCGAACUCUGGGAUAAGCGUUGGAAACGACGUCUAAUACCGGAUACGACGCGCGAAGGCAUCUUCUGCGCGUGGAAAGAAUUUCGGUUCGGGAUGAGCUCGCGGCCUAUCAGCUAGUUGGUGAGGUAACGGCUCACCAAGGCGACGACGGGUAGCCGGCCUGAGAGGGUGACCGGCCACACUGGGACUGAGACACGGCCCAGACUCCUACGGGAGGCAGCAGUGGGGAAUAUUGCACAAUGGGCGAAAGCCUGAUGCAGCAACGCCGCGUGAGGGACGACGGCCUUCGGGUUGUAAACCUCUUUUAGCAAGGAAGAAGCGAAAGUGACGGUACUUGCAGAAAAAGCGCCGGCUAACUACGUGCCAGCAGCCGCAGUAAGAC
rnacentral:rRNA from 1 species